rnacentral:rRNA from 1 species
GCUCAACCGGGGAGGGUCAUUGGAAACUGGGGAACUUGAGUGCAGAAGAGGAGAGUGGAAUUCCACGUGUAGCGGUGAAAUGCGUAGAGAUGUGGAGGAACACCAGUGGCGAAGGCGACUCUCUGGUCUGUAACUGACGCUGAGGCGCGAAAGCGUGGGGAGCGAACAGGAUUAGAUACCCUGGUAGUCCACGCCGUAAACGAUGAGUGCUAAGUGUUAGAGGGUUUCCGCCCUUUAGUGCUGCAGCAAACGCAUUAAGCACUCCGCCUGGGGAGUACGGUCGCAAGACUGAAACUCAAAGGAAUUGACGGGGGCCCGCACAAGCGGUGGAGCAUGUGGUUUAAUUCGAAGCAACGCGAAGAACCUUACCAGGCCUUGACAUCCUCUGACAACCCUAGAGAUAGGGCUUCCCCUUCGGGGGCAGAGUGACAGGUGGUGCAUGGUUGUCGUCAGCUCGUGUCGUGAGAUGUUGGGUUAAGUCCCGCAACGAGCGCAACCCUUGAUCUUAGUUGCCAGCAUUCAGUUGGGCACUCUAAGGUGACUGCCGGUGACAAACCGGAGGAAGGUGGGGAUGACGUCAAAUCAUCAUGCCCCUUAUGACCUGGGCUACACACGUGCUACAAUGGGCAGAACAAAG